rnacentral:tRNA from 2 species
GCUUCCUUAGCUCAGUUGGUUAGAGCAUCUGACUGUUAAUCAGAGGGUCUCAGGUUCAAGUCCUGAAGGGAGCGCCA